AGGUGUUUCCUCUGCCGUCA
rnacentral:miRNA from 1 species